AACGAACGCUGGCGGCAGGCCUAACACAUGCAAGUCGAACGCACCGCAAGGUGAGUGGCGCACGGGUGAGUAACACGUGGGAAUGUACCCUUUGGUUCGGAAUAACGUUUGGAAACGAACGCUAAUACCGGAUGAGCCCUGCGGGGGAAAGAUUUAUCGCCAAAGGAGCAGCCCGCGUCUGAUUAGGUAGUUGGUGGGGUAAAGGCCUACCAAGCCGACGAUCAGUAGCUGGUCUGAGAGGAUGAUCAGCCACACUGGGACUGAGACACGGCCCAGACUCCUACGGGAGGCAGCAGUGGGGAAUAUUGGACAAUGGGCGCAAGCCUGAUCCAGCCAUGCCGCGUGAGUGAUGAAGGCCUUCGGGUUGUAAAGCUCUUUCGCACACGACGAUGAUGACGGUAGUGUGAGAAGAAGCCCCGGCUAACUUCGUGCCAGCCGCCGCCGUAACAC
rnacentral:rRNA from 1 species